CCGCGGUAAUACAGAGGGUGCGAGCGUUAAUCGGAUUUACUGGGCGUAAAGCGUGCGUAGGCGGCUUAUUAAGUCGGAUGUGAAAUCCCCGAGCUUAACUUGGGAAUUGCAUUCGAUACUGGUGAGCUAGAGUAUGGGAGAGGAUGGUAGAAUUCCAGGUGUAGCGGUGAAAUGCGUAGAGAUCUGGAGGAAUACCGAUGGCGAAGGCAGCCAUCUGGCCUAAUACUGACGCUGAGGUACGAAAGCAUGG
rnacentral:rRNA from 1 species